rnacentral:lncRNA from 1 species
UGGAGGAGUGGGUGAACAGCUUCUGGACCCACAUUCAGAGCAGCUUCCCCAUCUGCACCACGUCCUGGGAAUACAAAAUGGCACCGAGUUGUACUUCUGCUCAUUAGAUGUGGGCAAACUUGGCUAGAACACAAGUGCAAAAGCUCAUCUUUCUUCAGCUGCUUGUAAUUCAUGCUUGAGCAAGAACAUUAUUUGGGGCUUAAGUCAGAUUCCUCUAAGUAGGUCACAAUUCUUCUUCUAGACACAAAUUCCUGCCUCCGACUUCUCAGAAACACGGAUUCUCAGCCUCUCCUGAUUUGUGUAACACCUCAGGUGCCCUCUUAUCAUAUUUAUCAGCUCAUCAAAUGAAUCCACAAAACAGUUACUAACUUGCUGCCUGAUAGGGCUCAGACUUGGAAAAGUUCCUCUGCUUUGGUUGGCAGCCAUUUCUCUGGCUCAUUUGCAUGGCUGAUUUUUCCCACUUUAAUGAUGCUUUACUGUUAGCCCUGUAGCCAGGUAAAAUGAUAGAACCUGCAUUUCCUGUGGUCAGUGCAUCAAUGAGAGGGCAAGAAGCUGCAGAAAGAGCCAGGAAGUUCCAGUCCAUAUGGGGCUUGCUCUCUGAAACAGAUUCAAUGCAGUCAAUGCUAUAAAACAGAAUUUAUUUUAGUGGUAUAGAGACUGAUUCCCCAAAUCAUGACAGCAUGUGUUAGACAUUAUUCUAAUUCUUUUGUACAGCACUGUGAGCAUCUUGGACACACCCAAUGCUACAAGGAGAUAAAAGAAUGCAAUGAGACACAGACUAGAAUAGAAGACACUACAGCAGAACACAAUAUAAUGCAAUACAAGGAUGGCACAUUGUGUACAAGGACUGUCGAGGAGGCGAGCACGGGGCCACCUGUGGUCACCAUGGAAACAGCGGGAUUUGCUGACUAUAUUCUUUUCCUUGAUGCAUGUUAAAGACUAUUGGCAAGCAGAGGGACACCUGAGCCAAGACUUGAGUUGAUGAGUAUUGCCCAGAAGAACAAUUAUGUCCUGAACAAAAAUGGGAAAAUUCUUAUGCAUAAAAUUCAGCUGAGCCAUGACCCAUAAAGGACCUCACACUGCUGAUACUGUGUCAGGCAAUCAAGUUACAUAAUUCAACAGUACAAAAAUAACAGAUGCAGUUAGUUUAACUCACUAAAAAUGCUAAACCUAUGAAGGGACAUAGAACAUUCAGAGUCAUCUUUGAGAUCAGAAUGCAGUGAUCACACUCACGUGUGCCCACUCAAAUAAACUGCACCCCCACAAUAAGAAUUCCUCA